rnacentral:rRNA from 1 species
UACGGGGGGGGCAAGCGUUGUUCGGAAUUACUGGGCGUAAAGGGCUCGUAGGCGGCCAACUAAGUCGGAUGUGAAAUCCCCAGGCUUAACCUGGGAACUGCAUCCGAUACUGGAUGGCUUGAAUCCGGGAGAGGGAUGCGGAAUUCCAGGUGUAGCGGUGAAAUGCGUAGAUAUCUGGAGGAACACCGGUGGCGAAGGCGGCAUCCUGGACCGGCAUUGGCACUGAGGCGCGAAAGCCAGGGGAGCAAACGGG